GCAGACACAUUCCAGCCAAUCAGCAGCAGACCCUCCCUCCCAGACCCUCCCACCUCCUGGACAGCAUCCAUUUUACAUUCAUUGUGAAGCUGCAUUUUUAGUGAGCUGUCCAGGAGGUGGGAGGGUCUGGGAGGGAGGGUCUGCUGCUGAUUGGCUGGAAUGUGUCU
rnacentral:miRNA from 1 species